rnacentral:tRNA from 1 species
GGGCAUGUAGCUCAGUGGACUAGAGCACCUGGCUACGGACCAGGGUGUCGGGGGUUCGAAUCCCUCCUUGCCCG